rnacentral:rRNA from 1 species
CCAGACUCCUACGGGAGGCAGCAGUGGGGAAUAUUGCACAAUGGGGGAAACCCUGAUGCAGCGACGCCGCGUGAGUGAAGAAGUAUUUCGGUAUGUAAAGCUCUAUCAGCAGGAACGAGACAAGACGGUACCUGACUAAGAAGCCCCGGCUAACUACGUGCCAGCAGCCGCGGUAAUACGUAGGGGGCAAGCGUUAUCCGGAUUUACUGGGUGUAAAGGGAGCGUAGACGGCUAUGUAAGUCUGGAGUGAAAGCCCGGGGCCCAACCCCGGGACUGCUUUGGAAACUGUGUAACUGGAGUACAGGAGGGGCAGGCGGAAUUCCUGGUGUAGCGGUGAAAUGCGUAGAUAUCAGGAGGAACACCGGCGGCGAAGGCGGCCUGCUGGACUGAAACUGACGUUGAGGCUCGAAAGCGUGGGGAGCAAACAGGAUUAGAUACCCCGGUAAC